AAAACGACUCUCGGCAACGGAUAUCUCGGCUCUCGCAUCGAUGAAGAACGUAGCGAACUGCGAUACUUGGUGUGAAUUGCAGAAUCCCAUGAACCAUCGAGUCUUUGAACGCAAGUUGCGCCCGAAGCCAUUAGGCCGAGGGCACGUCUGCCUGGGCGUCACGC
rnacentral:rRNA from 1 species